rnacentral:rRNA from 1 species
GCCUACGGGAGGCAGCAGUGGGGAAUCUUCCGCAAUGGACGAAAGUCUGACGGAGCAACGCCGCGUGUAUGAUGAAGGCCUUCGGGUUGUAAAGUACUGUCUUUGGGGACGAAUGGUCGCUAUGAAAAUAUUGUAGCGACAUGACGGUACCCAAGAAGGAAGCCCCGGCUAACUACGUGCCAGCAGCCGCGGUC